rnacentral:lncRNA from 1 species
UUUAAUUAAUAUGAUUAAUUAAUUAUUUAAUUGUUCCGAUCCAUUUGUCUAAAAGAGUUUAAACGAACUUAAUUGCUAGAAACUUGAAACAUGUUUGCAUAUAAUAUUAGUUAUUAUAUAAAAAUACAUUUAUGUGAUAAAUGCAUUAUUAGUGGAUGAUUAUGGACUCGACCAUAUGGAUGUGUUGAAUGGUUGAUUCUUGUUGUUGUUAUUAUUGUGGGCAUGCGAGCUCUUAAUUGUUUUGGACCUAUGAGUCUGUUAUUGUUAUUGUUAUGGGCCUGCGAGUCCAAUUAUAUUUAAGUCUGCGUGCCAACUAGUAUAGGAUAUAAGUUGCAGCUGGACUAAUUGAAGAAACAAGAAGAAGACGAGACCAUGGAGAUGGUGCAUUAUUAUUGAAUCAAUACUAUAUCCCCUAGGAAUUGACCAACUAGUCUUCCUUAUGGCUCGGGAAGACUAAAUAAUAAAAGUCCAUAAUCGUCCACACUAUUACAUUAUAUUAUAUAUGUGUUUAUUUGCAUGGUAGAUGUGUAAUAUAACAUAUAUGAUUGUUACGAUGAGACUUUUAAAUGCAAAACCCCUCAAUAAAAUAUUAAGUUAUCUUUUACUUUCGCCUUCCAUCGUUAUAGUGAAAAAUCAGAGUCCCAAAUCGUCUCAACUUGUUGAGUACACUCAAGGCUGGUCUAUUAGGGAUAUAUUUGACACUAUGAACUAUUGGAUAUUUUUGAAUGAUGGGUUUGACUUAACUAAAGUUCAUCUCUUGUUAAGAACAUUCAAGGAGAUAAAUUUUAGAGGCAUGUUAAGCUAUAACAUAAGAUGUGUAAUGACAAAAAGUUGUUAGCUUAACGAUCUGCGAGUUGUAUGGAGAUGCAAUUGAUAAUAGUAUCUAUCCAAAUAUUUUAUUAAGGUUUGUUGAGUACACUCAAGGUCUUGAUAUAACAAAUGGGAUCUCAGCCCACUGGGAGUCAAGUAUGAACUCCAUAAAUUUAUGUAAGAGGAUCAUAAAUUUGAGUUAAACAGUGAGAGCAUAAUUAAUUUAAUAAAAUUCCAUGUUAAGUUAAUUGAUGCAUUUUUUAUUAUUAUUCUUUUUCUUUUUGUCACUUAUACUUAUUGAAUCAUGAGUAACCAUAUGUAUUUGAGAGACAUACUGGAUGCCAACAACCAAAUUAAAUCUUCUUGAUUGGCACUGCAAUUUGAGAAUUGUUCUCAGGUAUGAGAAAGUUGGUUGUCCUCAAGUAGCCAUUUUCCAGAAACACUUGGUGAUGACUCAACUAAGGAAAAUGUGGCUACUAUAGUAAACACGGUGAUGAGAUAGUAUUGCACGCAUGCGAUGCUUGCAACUAUGUCACUGAAUUAUAAAAGCAACUUGAGAGUAUAGAUGUUAAUACAUAAUUCUUCAUUACAAAGAGUUGUAUGAUAAUAAUCAUGUGUGGAAGGAUAUGAGACUUCCAAACAACUAUACCGGUGCAAAAUGACAGAGUAAUCUUCAAUCGAUGCUUAGACACUGAAGAUGAUUGACGUUGAGAGAUGUCUCAAUUGAGUUCUGCAAUCUCUGUCAGAGAAAGCUAUUCACAACUAAUUAAGAAUUUAACGUGAAUAAGCUCGAAUGCACAAUUAUUGAGUUACUUAACAUGCUUAAGACUGUUAAACCCAGUAUCAAAGUUAAUAAUGGGCAAGCCAUUAAUUCCUCUAAAGAUAUUAAGAGGAAUCUAAAGGGGCUUUGUGAAAGCGUUCCAAUAUGGUUAAG